rnacentral:rRNA from 1 species
AUGGCAACAAACCGCUCAGGAGAUGGGUGCUUAUUGACUCGGCAAGGAGGAAGAAGGUGUAUCCCUAUGAAAUUCAAUAUGAACAAAUUCCAUACUUCUGUUUUUCUUGUGGACGGCUGGGCCAUUCGGAUCUUUACUUCUGUAACACAGGCACUUGAGAUGAGAAGGGAGAGCUUCCAUUUGGGCCGACAUUGCGAGCUCCUGAUGAUAACAGGUACCCAGCAGGCAGCGAAAAUUCAUCCAGGGGACAGAAAUCUGACCAGAGCGGCAAGCAAGAGACAAGGAACUCCAGAAAAAAAACCAAGCAAGAUGGGGGGGGGGAAGAGGUGGUCUCGCCUUUAA